GUGGGGAAUCUUGCGCAAUGGGCGAAACCCUGAUCCAGCAAUGCCGCGUGGGUGAAGAAGGCCUGCGGGUUGUAAAGCCCUUUCGGUGAAGACAAAACGCGCCGUGCUAAUACCACGGUGUUUUGAUUUAACUCACUAAAGAAGCACCGGCUAACUCUGU
rnacentral:rRNA from 1 species